GAUAUUAAUUAAUAAAUUAUUCGUCUGUUUCAGCAAUUUCUCCCAAGUGCAAGUGAACGUGUGUUCGACAGGCCGAAGAAGGAAUCAUCCGGUGGAACGAGAGGUAGCAGCUGAGAAGACUCCACAUCCCAAUCACCGAGCAGUGCCGCCAGUUUUGUUAAGUUGAUUGUGUAGUUUAAGCCAGUGCAUUGUAGUGUUGUUUUGCUGCAUGUGUGUAUGUGCAUACGUGCCAAAUAAAACUUUAAUUGAAUAUAAAAUUCAAUUUGAGUUUUAUUUGUUAGGAUACCCUUUGCAGAUAGGAUAUGUGAGGACGACCAGUUUCCAGCGUAUAUGCUUGCAAUCAGUUGCUGGGGAAGGACCAGCCUGCAUCGGCCGAAGAAUCUCCUGGAUUUGUGUUGUGUGUGCGCGAAGUGCUCGCUGUGGGUGGCAGUGGCGCCAGUUGUCGAAAGAUUGGCAGGCGCGACUGCGAGGCAGUAGCGUCGCCUAUAUUUUGUGUCGCCCCAGAGGUGGGGGUGUGUGGGACUGCGUCAUACGAUGGCGCGCCGUUGCGACGAGCCUCAUUUCUGCGUCGCGCUGCCAUUCUGCGAAGAUUUUCGCUGGAGUUGCGGGUUGAGGCCGGAUAUGACCUCGAGAAUCUCUCUGCUAAAAUGUUGCGGCUGUGCUCGCGAAAAGUUAUCGGGCCGUAUACGGGCGGAUGUCGGCGAAGAUAAUUAGCGUGUAGCUCCUCGUCGAACUCCGCUUGUCUUCGCUGUUGUCGCUGUGCGCGCAACUCGAUU
rnacentral:sRNA from 1 species